AAGUUGACGGGGGCCCGCACAAGCGGUGGAGCAUGUUGGUUUAAUUCGAAGCAACGCGAAGAACCUUUACCAGGUUCUUGACAUCCCGAUGCUAUUUCUAGAGAUAGAAAGUUUACUUCGGUACAUCGGUGACAGGUGGUGCAUGGUUGUCGUCAGCUCGUGUCGUGAGAUGUUGGGUUAAGUCCCGCAACGAGCGCAACCCCUAUUGUUAGUUGCCAUCAUUCAGUUGGGCACUCUGGCGAGACUGCCGGUAAUAAACCGGAGGAAGGUGGGGAUGACGUCAAAUCAUCAUGCCCCUUAUGACCUGGGCUACACACGUGCUACAAUGGUUGGUACAACGAGUUGCGAGUCGGUGACGGCGAGCUAAUCUCUUAAAGCCAAUCUCAGUUCGGAUUGUAGGCUGCAACUCGCCUACAUGAAGUCGGAAUCGCUAGUAAUCGCGGAUCAGCACGCCGCGGUGAAUACGUUCCCGGGCCUU
rnacentral:rRNA from 1 species